AUUGAACGCUGGCGGCAUGCCUUACACAUGCAAGUCGAACGGUAACGGGCCUUCGGGUGCCGACGAGUGGCGCACGGGUGAGUAAUACAUCGGAACGUGCCCGAUCGUGGGGGAUAACGAGGCGAAAGCUUUGCUAAUACCGCAUACGAUCUACGGAUGAAAGCAGGGGACCGCAAGGCCUUGCGCGGACGGAGCGGCCGAUGGCAGAUUAGGUAGUUGGUGGGAUAAAAGCUUACCAAGCCGACGAUCUGUAGCUGGUCUGAGAGGAUGAUCAGCCACACUGGGACUGAGACACGGCCCAGACUCCUACGGGAGGCAGCAGUGGGGAAUUUUGGACAAUGGGCGCAAGCGUGAUCCAGCCAUGCCGCGUGCAGGAUGAAGGCCUUCGGGUUGUAAACUGCUUUUGUACGGAACGAAAAGCCUUCUUUUAAUACAGGAGGGUCAUGACGGUACCGUAAGAAUAAGCACCGGCUAACUACGUG
rnacentral:rRNA from 1 species